rnacentral:rRNA from 1 species
CCUUUGUUGUUAAAACUACCUUGUUGCUUUGGCGGGACCGCUCGGUCUCGAGCCGCUGGGGAUUCGUCCCAGGCGAGCGCCCGCCAGAGUUAAACCAAACUCUUGUUAUUUAACCGGUCGUCUGAGUUAAAAUUUUGAAUAAAUCAAAACUUUCAACAACGGAUCUCUUGGUUCUCGCAUCGAUGAAGAACGCAGCGAAAUGCGAUAAGUAAUGUGAAUUGCAGAAUUCAGUGAAUCAUCGAAUCUUUGAACGCACAUUGCGCCCCUUGGUAUUCCGAGGGGCAUGCCUGUUCGAGCGUCAUUACACCACUCAAGCUAUGCUUGGUAUUGGGCGUCGUCCUUAGUUGGGCGCGCCUUAAAGACCUCGGCGAGGCCACUCCGGCUUUAGGCGUAGUAGAAUUUAUUCGAACGUCUGUCAAAGGAGAGGAACUCUGCCGACUGAAACCUUUAUUUUUCUAGGUUGACCUCGGAUCAGGUAGGGAUACCCGCUGAACUUAAGCAUAUCAAUAAGACGGAG